UAGGGAAUCUUCCGCAAUGGACGAAAGUCUGACGGAGCAACGCCGCGUGAGUGAAGAAGGAUUUCGGUUCGUAAAACUCUGUUGUUAGGGAAGAAAAAAUGUAUAGUAACUAUAUACAAAAGAGACGGUACCUAACCAGAAAGCCACGGCUAACUACGUGCCAGCAGCCGCGGUAAUACGUAGGUGGCAAGCGUUGUCCGGAAUUAUUGGGCGUAAAGCGCGCGCAGGUGGUUUAGAAAGUCUGAUGUGAAAGCCCACGGCUCAACCGUGGAGGGUCAUUGGAAACUAAUAAACUUGAGUGCAGGAGAGAAAAGUGGAAUUCCUAGUGUAGCUGUGAAAUGCGUAGAGAUUAGGAGGAACACCGGUGGCGAAAGCGGCUUUUUGGCCUGCAACUGACACUGAGGCGCGAAAGCGUGGGGAGCAAACAGG
rnacentral:rRNA from 1 species